UUGGGUNAAGUCCCGCANCCCCGCGCAACNAANAAAUUUUAGUUGCCAUCCUUCAGUUGGGCACUCUAGAGAGACUGCCGGUGACAAACCGGAGGAAGGUGGGGAUGACGUCAAGUCAGCAUGCCCCUUACGUCCUGGGCUACACACGUACUACAAUGCUGCGGACAAAGGGUUGCAAGCGCGCGAGUGCAAGCUAAUCCCAUAAACCGUGGCUCAGUUCAGAUUGCAGGCUGCAACUCGCCUGCAUGAAGGCGGAAUCGCUAGUAAUCGCANGUCAGCAUACUGCGGUGAAUACGUUCCCGGGCCUUGUACACACCGCCCGUCACACCAUGGGAGUUGGCCACGCCCGAAGUCGUUACUCCAACCGUUUCGCGGGGGAGGAUGCCUGAAGGUAGGGCUGAUGACUGGGGUGAAGUCGUAACAAGGUAACC
rnacentral:rRNA from 1 species